UGUCCCCCCACUCCCCGCCCCGCCGCGGAUCCUGGCAGGGAGUCCCCUCUGCUGUGCCCUGUCAGCCCAGGGCCACGCGGACUUUCCCAGGACGCAUCCCCGCGUGUGGCCGUCCCCAGGGCCGCCCGCCCCUCCUGCCAAGCCCACACCAAGCCCUCAGGGCCACCCCCCUCCAGAGCAGGUGUCCCUGACCUUUUGGGUCACUGUGUGGAGAAUCCGAUGCAACAAUUAAUCUUUCCCUUGAAAAAGGCCAGCAUUUGCCCAGCGCUGUGUGUCUAGUUCCAAGGGGGCCCAGAGCCCCAGGGGCAGACGCUCUGAGCUCAGGGAGGGGGCUCCUUGGGCACAAGUGUCCCUUUCCUUCCUUAGGGAGCUGCUCACCCUGGAGCCCAAUCGCUGGAUUCCCAGGUGUAGACGACGUGUCUGUCCGGCCCCACGUCCAUGUGGACCAGUGAGGGGCUCCCUCCUGCCGCGUGACGCCCUGCGAGUGACUGGGGGGUCGGGGACAGGCCGUACACACUCGCACCUUCUCCCCGCUCCUUCCUUCUAACCCGCAUCACCUGGGGGGUCAUGUGUGUGUAUAUGUGUGCAUGUGUGUGUGCAGGCGUGUUGAUGGCAGCCCUUGUGUUUCAGCGUCUCUCCCUUUUUCCUUGUUUGGCGUAAAGUCAGGACCCUAGCAUCUAUUAUAAUGGUUACAGGCUCUGCACUGUUUAUGAUUUCUUAACUUUCAGAAAUCUAAAUUAAAUGGCAACGUCCAAAGAAUCAGAGCUGACCUUUGAACAGCAUGGGUUUGAGCCACACAGGUCCACGCAGACGUGGCUGCAGACGCAGGGCAGGGUGGGCGGGGGCUGGCUGGCAGGGUCAGUGCCCCUGGCCCCACCGUGUUCAAGGCAGUUGGAUUCCCUGAGAGGUGACGGCUCAGGAACCACCACUGGUUCUGGCUCAGGAGCUCUUUCUGUCCCUGUAUCGUCUGGUGGCUCCAGCAGCAGCGAGGCAGCUGGACUGUGGGGCCCUGGGGUCCAGGGUCCAGGUAAAGGCUCUGGUCACUGCAGGGGUCUGCGUGGUGGUGGUCCCAGGCCUCCUGGCGCUUUGCAGUCAGAUCACUCUGACAGACCGAAUCCUGAAAGUGCUGGCCGGUUGCUGGUGCUUUGGAUGCACUGUUGUGUCGAUAUGGGGCCUGGUGUCUGUUUGCACAGUGUGAAUUUACACACUCCUUGACAAGUAUCACAGGACAGAAGACAGUGUGUCACACGGGGGGCCUCAGGCUCCGAAGCCCCUCAGGAAGACUGUCUGGGUCCGCCCAGAGCAGCAGUCCCCACCCUGGUCUUUCACAAAACAGUAUUAAAGAUAGAUUGCAUGGGACUUCCCUGGUGGUGCAGUGGUUAAAGAAUCCGCCUGCAACGCAAGGGACACGGGUUCAAUCCCUGGUCCGGGAAGAUCCCACAUGCCGCGGAGCAACUAAGCCCGUGCGCCACAACUACUGAGCCUGUGCUCUAGAGCCCGUGAGCCACAACUACUGAGCCUGUGUGCCACAACUACUGAAGCCUGCGCACCCUAGAGCCCAUGCUCCUCAACAAGAGAAGCCACCGCAAUGAGAAGCCCACACACUGCAACGAAGAGUAGCCCCCGCUCGCCACAACUAGAGAAAGCCCGUGAGCAGCAACAAAGACCAAACGCAGCCAAAAAAAAAAAAAAAAAUUAAAAGACAAGAUAGAAUGUAGCUGUUUUGACUUUGAUAAAAUAAGAAACAACCUGACUGUGGGCUCCCUGGUUUUGCUAUUUUAUUUUACUCACUGGUGAAAUCCAAAGCCUGGGAGAUGGGUGUGGACAGAAACUGCACUCGCUUCUGCCCUCGGCUGGGCAGUUGCUCCACCCCCAGGGAUGGGAAUCUGACCACAGUGUCACCCAGCACUGACACUGCCGCAGAGGAGGUAACACAAGGAACCAGGUCAGUGCCGCAUUCCCGAAGCACUGUGUUGGCGCCGAAGGCAUGAGCUCAGUCUGCGUCCGGGCCGCCUCUGUGGGUGCCAAAACCUGUUCCAGCUGUGCUCCCAAGUGAGAUCCAAGUGGGGUGACUUUGAGGACAUGCAGUAGCAUCGCUAAGCCUGUCCGCGUCUCCUUGUCUGGGAGGCACAGGCCGGGGGAGGAGGACGGCUGGUGCUCUCUCGCCUCUGCCCGGGCUGGGCCCCUGGUGGGACGUGGCCGCGCUGUUGUGCUGACCGGCCCCUGUGCCCUGUGGGGUGCGUGCACUCGGGGAUAAGGCGUUCCUGGCCACCACCACCUGAAUGCCUGCCUGCAUUGUCUCCCCGCUGCAUUUCACGCUGUGUCCUCGGGCAGCAGAGCCUGGGCCGAAGCCUGAGCGAUGAGGCCAGGGACAUUAGCUGGCUCCCUAGUGGACUGAAGGUGACCCUGACCUUGUCACAGAGUCAACAAACUGGCCAAAGAGAAGGCCUGGGUGCUCCUGGCCAUCAAAAUCAUAAGGAGGGUUUGUUAUGACUCUUAGUAAGAAGUAAUAAAGCAGAACGUAUUGGCCUAA